UUUUUUUUUUCUUUUUAGGGCUGCACCUGUAGCAAAUGGAGGUUCCCAGGCUAGGGGUUGAAUCAUAGCUGCAGCUGCUGGCCUACACCACACCCACAGCAACGCGGGAUCCUUGACCCACUGAGUGAGGCCAGGGAUGGCACCCACAUCCUCAGGGAUACUCGGGUUUGUUUCUGCUGCACCACAACAGGAAAUCUGCAAUUUUUUUUAACAAGUAUUUUUUGACCAAUAUUUUAUUAUGAACAAGUGUCAACCUAUAGCCUAAAAUAAUUUAGUCUAUUUGGAAUUAAUUAGAAUUCAAUAUAUAUUUACAGGCCUUUUUUGAGUAAAAAUUCAAAUUUAUUUAUUUUAGUAUGAGUUAAUGUCUCUUAGUAUUGAGAUAGCGCAAUGUUUAGGAGUUCUGAGGCGCAUAGCUUUAUUCUUGCUCAGCCAAAGUGAUGAAGUGGGAGCAGCAUCCUCUGGACCCAGCUGGGUGGUGGCCACAGGAGUUGGACUGGAAGAAGAGUCUCAUAGAAAGGCAAGGCUUGAGGGCACAGAAUGAGACCUGCUUGGCUUCACCUGGAGAUGCUGCCCAUGCAUUAGAUCCCAAAAAACCUCACUAACCUUCAGAUGUAACCUUGGAGCAUCACCUUUCUGUUACAUAUAUUCAUGAUGAAGUUCCAGUCCCUACCAGCAUGAUUUUGGACCCCCAGUACUUGUAAAGCACCAUCUAGGUAUUUUUGAGAAUAUGCAGGAUGCUCUCUUGUGUGUGUAACAAACUGCCUUUGUCCCUUCUUGCUGCCUCACCUACUGAUUUUGCCGUGACUCAUGAAGCAUACUGAACCCGUCAGUGUGUCCCCAACUCUGGCCUCAGGGAGAGGACACCACAGCCCUUCUGUGAAUUCAACCCCAAUUUUCCCUUGAUCCCUGAGAGCCCUGUAAAGACUAAGUUAAGGUGAACAAGGCAUUACUGAGAGCUUGGGCACAAUGAAAUGAACUAUAGGAGUUCCUGCAGAGGUUAAGUGGGUUAAGACUCUGGCGGAAGCAGCUGGGGUGGCAGUGGAGGCAUAGGUUUGAUCCCUACCAGGUGCAGUGGGUUAAAGGAUAUGGUAUUUCUGCAGCUGCAGUGUAGGUCACAGUUGUGGCUUAGCCUGGGAACUUCCCUAUGCUGUAGGUGUGGCCAUAAAAAAAAGUACCAUGUAUAGUACAUAGCCUCACAGUCCUGCUAGAUAUGGUUUCCUGAGACCCCAUGCUCAGACCUGCUCUGAGGCCUCUUAGAGGGCUGCCUCCUGCCUCCACCUGGAAGGAGAAACCUGGCUUCCCUGCAAAAGUCCUGAGAUUCAUAUCACAUUUUACACUCUUCUGCUGGGCAAGAAGAAGGAGUUUCUCACAUCCUGUUGGUCUGUGGCCCAGCAUCUCUUUCCCUCAGCCAGAAUCUGCCUCUUCCCAGAAGGACUGAGAGAAAACAGACGCUCCCUUUAGGACAAGCCUUCCCCACCCUGUCCACCACUGCUGCCUCCCGGACAUGAUCUGGUCCCUUGGCUCCAGCAGGACACUCACAACAGAAAACACGUCCAACAGAAAUACCUUGCCAAAGUCUGGCAUGUUCCGUAAUGACGGCCGGAUGGCUCCCCAGCCAGUCCGGUUCCUUUCAGCAUCUCCUGCAGAGCAAGGUGACCAUGACCAUGACCAUGACCAUGUCUCUCCUCUAGUCUCCUGUGGACUCCAGCUUCACCAUACACACCGUCUACACAGACAAAAGAUCCCUUUACUCCAAAGUAACAAUAACGACUAAAAAGACGUAAACCUAAAUCGUAUGACACCCAGAGCAUUUAGCUUAUUUAUCAUAAUACCUGAAUAGAGAUACAUGAAUACAUCACAGUUUUCUCAAAACAAAAAUGUGGAGCUUUUUGACUUACUUUUUUUUUUUAAUCGUAUUUAUGUUAUGGAAAGACUGUCCAAAGAUACUGGCCAAGAACAAAAAUCAGUCUUGAGCAAAAGUAAGUCAGAAAGUUCUAACAACUUUUAAAUCACCUUUCCCCCCAAUUUUCUAUUGUCCUCAACGUUUCUAAAAAUAUCAGGUUAUCCCAUAACACAUAUUUGUCUUCUAUCUGACAAAGAAUUGAAGGCUUUCCGUGAUUAACACAUGCUUGGGUACUCACUACUGCAUGGUGAUAGUUAACUACUGUAUUUGUUGAUGACAACAUGUAUUUUGAACCUCUGAUAAGUUCCUGUUGUCUGCCAGAGACCAAGAAAGAUUGUUGUAUAACCUGCCAUAACAGCGAAAUGCACGUCUUCAGAAGGAGGCAAAACUAAGUGCAUCUAUCAGCUGCAGAGUCUGAAGAGGCUCAUCUGAUCCCAGAUGAUACUGUCUUCUAUUCUUACGCUACUUGUGCCCUUUUGCUCAUGAUUUGGACCUUUUCUGCCUUAGAAACCCAGGUGUUCACAGCAGAUUCUUGCCCCAUGGUCCAGUUGACUGCAAGUCUAUGAAUCUGAACCUGGCUUGAAAAAAAAAAAAAUACCUUUUGACUGGGCAUUCAGUUCACAGCAGCCAGCCUCUUAUUCAACUCUGGAAGCUGUAUUACUUUAUUUUUCUGUGAAUCAAAUUAAUUCCAACUCUUGGCCAGUAUUCUGCCAGGCUGGUGGGAAUUCACUUUUAGGUUUUUAUUGGAAGCAAUUCCUUCCCUGACUCAGAACUGCACAAGAAUUCAAGAAACUUAUGUGAUGCUGAAAAAGUAAAUAUUCUAGGUUUCAGUUUAUCUUUGAGGUCACUGAUAGGCUUAUUGCUUAAAUCUGUAUGGUCCCUGGAAAUAUCCUGCUCUGUGCCAAGGCUGGAGGCACCGGUUCUCAGAGUCCAGCCCUCCUGGGUGCAGCAUAAGUGAACUCUUUUCAAAAUACUUCCACGGAAGAGGGCACAAGUCCUUCUAAAAGAUACUUCCUUUUCCAUUCAGCUGUCAUUCACAAUCCCCAACCUACACAACUCCUGAACACUUGCCAUAAUUUCUCCAGUUUAAGCUUGGGGGCGGGGGGAGGCCAGGAAAGAUUGUCCCAAAGUCACUUCUUUGUCCCCUUAGGCAAACUCAAAGACAGACAAAAAUCAAGGGAAAAAAAAAAAACAAACCUCAGUGGCCCAUAAUCUUUCUGAUUUCUGUAAAGC
rnacentral:lncRNA from 1 species